GUUUGUGAAACGAUUUAAACACGGUGUAAAAAUACAAAUUUCGUACGGUUUACCAGUCCCCUCCCCUUCCUCACCCCGUUGAAAAGCGGGUGAAAAAAUACAAACCGCAUUCGUAACGUACCUGCGUCGGUCGAGGGAGAAUUCGAAAUUCUCACCCGAACCAUAAUAAUAAUAAAUCUAAUAAUAAUUUUAAGCGAAACACGAUUUAGUCGUUUUUCUUACAAUAUAAAUAUUCAAAUCGCGCGGAAAAACAAUAAUAAUACAAAAAAAAAAAAAAAAAAAUCGUAGCUGAAACUGUAUGCAAGUGGCGAGGACCCCGGAGG